rnacentral:rRNA from 1 species
UACGUAGGGCGCAAGCGUUAUCCGGAAUUAUUGGGCGUAAAGAGCUCGUAGGCGGUUUGUCACGUCGGAUGUGAAAGCCCGGGGCUUAACCCCGGGUCUGCAUUCGAUACGGGCAGACUAGAGUGUGGUAGGGGAGAUCGGAAUUCCUGGUGUAGCGGUGAAAUGCGCAGAUAUCAGGAGGAACACCGGUGGCGAAGGCGGAUCUCUGGGCCAUUACUGACGCUGAGGAGCGAAAGCGUGGGGAGCGAACAGG